rnacentral:rRNA from 1 species
CCUACGGGUGUCAGCAGUGGGGGAUAUUGCACAAUGGGGGGAACCCUGAUGCAGCGACGCCGCGUGGGUGAAGGAGCGUUUCGGCGCGUAAAGCCCUAUCGGCAGGGAAGAAGAUGACGGUACCUGACCAAGAAGCCCUGGCUAACUACGUGCCAGCAGCCGCGGGAAUACGUAGGGGGCAAGCGUUCUCCGGUUUUACUGGGUGUAACGGUGUCGCAGGUGGCAAUGCAAGUCAUGAGUGAAAGCCCAGGGCCCAACGCCGGGACUGCUCUUGGAACUGCAUGGCGGGAGUAGAGGAGGGGCAGGCGGAAUUCCUGGUGUAGCGGUGAAAUGCGUAGAUAUCAGGAGGAACACCGGCGGCGAAGGCGGCCUGCUGGACUGAAACUGACGGUGAGGCUCGAAAGCGUGGGGAGCAAACAGGAGUAGAUACCCUUGUAGUC